GAUGAACGCUGGCGGCGUGCCUAAUACAUGCAAGUCGAGCGAACAGACGAGGAGCUUGCUCCUUCGACGUUAGCGGCGGACGGGUGAGUAACACGUAGGUAAUCUACCUAUAAGACUGGGAUAACUUCGGGAAACCGGAGCUAAUACCGGAUAAUAUUUCGAACCGCAUGGUUCGAUAGUGAAAGAUGGCUUUGCUAUCACUUAUAGAUGGACCUGCGCCGUAUUAGCUAGUUGGUAAGGUAACGGCUUACCAAGGCAACGAUACGUAGCCGACCUGAGAGGGUGAUCGGCCACACUGGAACUGAGACACGGUCCAGACUCCUACGGGAGGCAGCAGUAGGGAAUCUUCCGCAGUGGGCGAAAGCCUGACGGAGCAACGCCGCGUGAGUGAUGAAGGUCUUCGGAUCGUAAAACUCUGUUAUUAGGGAAGAACAAAUGUGUAAGUAACUGUGCACGUCUUGACGGUACCUAAUCAGAAAGCCACGGCUAACUACGUG
rnacentral:rRNA from 1 species